rnacentral:misc_RNA from 1 species
AAGUCGUAACAAGGUUUCCGUAGGUGAACCUGCGGAAGGAUCAUUAACACGUAUCCAAACGUUAAACCCCCCUGUGAACCUUCAGUCGUACUCGUACGUCCGUUAGAAAAAGCAGCAAUCCCUGGUAAAUCAUCGCCGAACAGUUUUCGAUUCAGGGACGUCUGCAAGGAGCGUGCAUGUUGUGCGUGUAAGUGGCCUGGCAUCCCCAAGCAGUUAGUGUCUGAAAGUGUCGACCGGGUCACCGGGUGCAAGCCCCCUUAUCACACCCCUGCUCUAUCUAUGGUGAUCCUGCGGGAAGUCCUGCGGUCGAACGCCGAAACCGAACAACUGUUAACAAUGGAUAUCUUGGUUCUC